GUGGUGGAUGCCUUGGCGAUUACAGGCGAUGAAGGACGUAGUAGCCUGCGAUAAGCUGCGGGGAGCUGGCAAACAAGCUUUGAUCCGCAGAUUUCCGAAUGGGGAAACCCACUCCGCAAGGAGUAUCCCCACGCUGAAUACAUAGGCGUGUGGAGGCGAACGCAGUGAACUGAAACAUCUAAGUAGCUGCAGGAAAAGAAAUCAACCGAGAUUCCGAAAGUAGUGGCGAGCGAAAUCGGAGCAGCCGGUGCGUGAUAGUCGAUAGGUUAACAGAACGGCAUGGAAAGGCCGGCCAUAGCGGGUGAUAGCCCCGUAUGUGAAAACCCUUCGGUGGUACUGAGCGCACGACAAGUAGGGCGGGACACGUGAAAUCCUGUCUGAAGAUGGGGGGACCAUCCUCCAAGGCUAAAUACUCGUAAUCGACCGAUAGUGAACAAGUACCGU
rnacentral:rRNA from 1 species